rnacentral:rRNA from 1 species
UACGUAGGCGGAAAAUUAAGUCAGUAGUGAAAUCCUGCAGCUCAACUGUAGAACUGUUAUUGAUACUGGUUUUCUUGAAUAUUGUUGAGGUAGGCGGAAUGUGUAAUGUAGCGGUGAAAUGCUUAGAUAUUACACGGAACACCGAUUGCGAAGGCAGCUUACUAAGCAAUUAUUGACGCUGAGGUACGAAAGCGUGGGGAGCGAACAGGAUUAGAUACCCUGGUAGUCC